rnacentral:rRNA from 1 species
UACGAAGGGGGCUAGCGUUGUUCGGAAUUACUGGGCGUAAAGCGCACGUAGGCGGGUAUUUAAGUCAGGGGUGAAAUCCCAGAGCUCAACUCUGGAACUGCCUUUGAUACUGGGUACCUAGAGUAUGGAAGAGGUGAGUGGAAUUCCGAGUGUAGAGGUGAAAUUCGUAGAUAUCGGAGGAACACCAGUGGCGAAGGCGGCUCACUGGUCCAUUACUGACGCUGAGGUGCGAAAGCGUGGGGAGCAAACAGG